UGGGGAAUAUUGCACAAUGGAGGGAACUCUGAUGCAGCGACGCCGCGUGAGUGAUGAAGGAAUUCGUUUCGUAAAACUCUGUUCUAUGGGAAGAAAAGGACUGUACCAUAGGAGAAAGCUCCGGCUAAAUACGUGCCAGCAGCCGCGGUAAUACGUAUGGAGCGAGCGUUGUCCGGAAUUAUUGGGCGUAAAGGGUGCGCAGGCGGCUUUACAAGUUGGAUGUGAAAUAUUGUGGCUCAACCACAAACGUGCAUCCAAAACUGCAAAGCUUGAGUUAAGGAGAGGUAAGUGGAAUUCCUGGUGUAGCGGUGGAAUGCGUAGAUAUCAGGAGGAAUACCGGUGGCGAAGGCGACUUACUGGACUUAAACUGACGCUCAGGCACGAAAGGGUGGGGAGCAAACAGG
rnacentral:rRNA from 1 species